rnacentral:rRNA from 1 species
AUAUCAAUAAGCGGAGGAAAAGAAACCAACUGGGAUUGCCCUAGUAACGGCGAGUGAAGCGGCAAUAGCUCAAAUUUGAAAUCUGACCCUUUCAGGGCCCGAGUUGUAAUUUGCAGAGGGUGUCUCGGCAUUGGGCCCGUGCUAGGUUCCUUGGAACAGGACGUCACAGAGGGUGAGAACCCCGUCUUCGUUCGGGACUCCUUUGCCGUGUGAGACCCCUUCGACGAGUCGAGUUGUUUGGGAAUGCAGCUCUAAAUUGGAGGUAAAUUUCUUCUAAAGCUAAAUACCAGCCAGAGACCGAUAGCGCACAAGUA